GUGUUUGGAACACCAUCCUCAUUUUCAUCCAACCUAGCUCUAUUUACACUUUCAUUCUAUUUUCUAUGUAUGAAUAGAACCCAUAGAAGAAGAAAUUUCUAUGGAGAGGAAAAUUUCAAAAGAGAUACUAAUUGAUAUAGAGAAGCUUCCAAAUCAUGUGAUAAUAGAGAUAUUCAUAAGAACAAAAGUAAGUGAUUGGGCUCAAAUAUCAUGUGUGAAUAAGCAUUGGGCUUCUCUUUUCCAUACCGAAUGCUUCUGGCAAGCAGCUCUUUUUCACAUCUAUCCAUUCAUCAAUCCUGCUCAAACAUGGCCCAAAUCCAUUCCUCAAAGUUCUUUAGCCAAGAGGAGAUUCAUGGCCUUACAUAUAAGUGAACAUAUAUUGGCAUAUGAUUGUGAUAUACAAGUAGACGAGAUUGUUGGGCACGGUUAUCUGUUUUUGAAAGAACAACUUCAACUUUCUAUUAUACCUCCUCAUAGUGGAAUACUUCACGGAACCAUGAUUGAAGAUCAGUUCAUUGCUUGUGGCAAGUCAAGAGACGUAGCCCAUGAACUUGCAUCUUGAAUUUGGGUUGCAGUUGUUGAUAAUUUGGAAGAAAACCAGCACACCUUUUGCUUGCUUAAACGUCUUGCACAAGAAGGGGAUGUUUAUCUUCGAUACCCUUACACUAGAUCAGUGAAAGUUCAAUGGAGGGUGUUUGAAAAGCUUUUUACUGAUUUCCGUGAUUGCUUCAACCAUGUAGAUUAUUAUGAUAUGUUGGCAUGUGCUAAAAGUAGGUUUCAGCCUAUACCAUCUUCUUGGUUAGGUUAUUAGCAAACAAGACAUUCUCAAAGCAAAUUUAAUGUCAUCAAGGCCCAAUUCUUUUGGAAAAUGUAUAAGUAUAUAUGACUCAAAUAAAUUGUCUUGAAAUCUAA